GAUUGUCCAUAAUUAUAAAGAUAUAAGAGUGUAGAUCUUUCAAGCAAGCAUGUUAUUAUCAUUGCGUCAGUAUUAUCAAAAUAAUAUAUUGUUUACGUACUUGGAAGAGAAAUUACGCAACUUCUGUAUCAGCGGCACUGGCUCUUUCGUGGUUUUGUUCGUCGUUGAUAACAUUUAUGAUCGUCGUUAAUCGAUUGAAAUUUUGACAUUAUUUAAAUUUAAAUGCACAUUGGAUCUACAUAAUAAUGAAACAACUGUGAUAACGAUUAUUUUCAAAUAUACAAUUAUUUUCAUAUAUAUACAAUUAUUUAAUUGCUUUUUCUUCUAAUCAGACACAUCUGUACAGAAUCGAAUAUCGAAACAUUCUUCUUCUAUUUCAAUGAUUUUUUUUAAUAUUUUCGAUUGUUUAAAAAAAUUUGGCUUUGUAUGCAAAUUAUGAAUAUUCUUACAGGGGUCACUCAAUAUUAAGAUACAUUUAAAUGUAAAAAUAUUUUUUCAUGAUGUGUAAAUGUGUCGAAUACAAGACUUAUGUAACAGUUUAUAUUUAAAGAAAAUUAAAUAAAUUUGAUUCUAUAAAAAUGACGAAUCAAAUUCGAUCGUUUAUUAGCAUUUAAAAGUAUAUAGAAAUAAAGAACGAAUAUAGGUUAGAUCGCGACGCGGCUCAUGGAUAUGAUUGCUAUUUAUUUAUUAAAUUAUAAUUUUUAAGAUUUUGUAUAAUUUUAUAUCACAUAUUAACGUGUUUUUAUUUGAAAAAUACUAAGUGUUACUUUAAGUGUUACUUUAAGUGUCAGUUCGAAAAUUAUUUAAACCAAUAGUUAAUCUAGAUAUUAAAACAUAAAAGCAUUAAAAAUCAACGAAAUUGUAAACGUAAAUGUAAUCGGUCAUCUAGAAUUCAAAAUUGAAAGCACAGCCGGACAAUUUGAUUCUCGUUGGCUGCUAAUUUAUCUGUCACUAAAAUCAGGUUACAGUCCCAUAAGUCACUAUAGCGAAUGUGACGCUUACGUCAUCGGAUUUACGUGCCUGUAUGAAUUUUCUGAUUAUAUUAAAGCGGAAUUAAAAUUAUUUUAUCAAAUAUAUCGAUAAUAUAUACAUUGGUCUUGAAGUGAUAAUUCAGAGAUUUCGAACGUAUUAUAUAUACGAUUUAUCCCUUUAUCUUAUGUAAUGUACGAUAUCAAUUAUUUCGGAAUAGCUAACGUAAAUUAGUUACAGAUAUAAUAUAUAUAUAUGUGUAUAUUAUAUUUUUACUUUUAAAAUAAAUGAUUGUGAUAUAAUUAUUAGUAAUAGAAACAAAAAAGUGCGAAAUGAUUUAAUUGAGGGUUAAGUGCAUAGUGAAUGUAGUGCCAUGUUUUUUUUGGCGCGAAUUAUGAAUUUGGUAACGAAAUUUAUCAAAUACAAUGCAAAUAUCGAAAUCAA